rnacentral:rRNA from 1 species
UAAUACGAAGGGCCCAAGCGUUGCGCGGAAUUAUUGGGCUUAAAGGGUGCGUAGGCGGACCCGCAAGUGCCUUGUGAAAGCCCUCGGCUCAACCGAGGAAUUGCUUGGUAGACUGCAGGUCUUGAGCUCGGCAGGGGCGGUCGGAACUCUAGGUGGAGCGGUGAAAUGCGUAGAUAUCUAGAGGAACGCCAAAGGUGAAGACAGACCGCUGGGCCGACGCUGACGCUGAGGCACGAAAGCGUGGGUAGCGAACGGGAUUAGAUACCCCGGUAGUCCACGCCCUAAACGAUGUGCACUAGAUGCCGGAGUUUUGACAACAUCGGCGUCGAAGCAAAAGUGAUUAGUGCACCGCCUGGGGAGUACGGUCGCAAGGCUA